UACGAAGGGUGCAAGCGUUACUCGGAAUUACUGGGCGUAAAGCGUGCGUAGGUGGUUGUUUAAGUCUGUUGUGAAAGCCCUGGGCUCAACCUGGGAACUGCAGUGGAAACUGGACGACUAGAGUGUGGUAGAGGGUAGCGGAAUUCCUGGUGUAGCAGUGAAAUGCGUAGAGAUCAGGAGGAACAUCCAUGGCGAAGGCAGCUACCUGGACCAACACUGACACUGAGGUGCGAAAGCGUGGGGAGCAAACAGG
rnacentral:rRNA from 1 species